GACGAACGCUGGCGGCGUGCCUAAUACAUGCAAGUUGAGCGCUGAAGGUUGGUACUUGUACCAACUGGGUGAGCAGCGAACGGGUGAGUAACGCGUGGGGAAUCUGCCUUUGAGCGGGGGACAACAUUUGGAAACGAAUGCUAAUACCGCAUAAAAACUUUAAACACAAGUUUUAAGUUUGAAAGAUGCAAUUGCAUCACUCAAAGAUGAUCCCGCGUUGUAUUAGCUAGUUGGUGAGGUAAAGGCUCACCAAGGCGAUGAUACAUAGCCGACCUGGGAGGGUGGUCGGCCACAUUGGGACUGGGACACGGCCCAAACUCCUACGGGAGGCAGCAGGAGGGAAUCUUCGGCCAUGGACGAAAGUCUGAACGAGCAACGCCGCGUGAGGGAAGAAGGUUGUCGGAUCGUAAAACUCUGUUGGUAGAGAAGAAAGUUGGUGAGAGUGGAAAGCUCAUCAAGUGACGGUAACUACCCAGAAAGGGACGGCUAACUACGUG
rnacentral:rRNA from 1 species